UUGUGCCGGCGGCACUGCGG
rnacentral:misc_RNA from 1 species